ACUGGACUCAGGGUCAGAAGGC
rnacentral:miRNA from 1 species